rnacentral:pre_miRNA from 1 species
CUAUUAAUUUGAUCUUAGUUUUAAAUAAUUUAAUAAAUUUAACCCUUUACAUAUAUAAAUUCUAUCAAUUUGAACGUCAUAUUUUUUAACCAAAAUUUUCAGCUUUUAAAAUAGAGGCAUUCCACAUCUAUUAAUUGUUUUAUUUAUGCUGGUCAAAGUGAUUUUUUUUAUUACAAAUAUUAAAAUAUUUAUAUAAUUUUAUUGUGUAUGUUAUAUCUUUUUAAAAUUUGUAUUUUCUAUUAUUUUUAGUGGUGUUUAGUUAAUUUCUAACACUAAUUCCUUAAAAAUAUAAAUAAAAAGGGUCAUGUACCAAAUUGAAAAUAAUUUCAACCAUAAAUAAAACAAUUAAAAGCUGAAAGCUUUGGUUAGGAAAUUUGAGGAUUAAAUUGAUAUAAUUUAUAAAUGUGAAGGGUUAAAUUUAUUGAAUUAUUUAGAACUAGGAUCAAAUUGAUA